rnacentral:rRNA from 1 species
AGAGUUUGAUCCUGGCUCAGGACACGCUGGCGGCGCGCUUAACACAUGCAAGUCGAACGGAGCUUAGAUGAGCGUCUUCGGACAAUCAUUUAAACUUAGUGGCGGACGGGUGAGUAACGCGUGAGCAACCGGUCCUGAANAGGGGGACAACAUUGAGAAAUCAAUGCUAAUACCGCGUAAGACCACGCUGUGGCAUCACAGAGGGGUCAAAGGAGAGAUCCGCUUCAGGGAGGGCUCGCGUCCCAUUAGGUAGUUGGUGACGGUAACGGCGCACCAAGCCGACGAUGGGUAGCCGUGCUGAGAGGCAGAACGGCCACACUGGAACUGAGACACGGUCCAGACUCCUACGGGAGGCAGCAGUGGGGAAUCUUGGGCAAUGGGGGGAACCCUGACCCAGCGACGCCGCGUGGAGGAAGAAGGUCUUCGGAUUGUAAACUUCUGUGACAGGGGACGAAGGAAGUGACGGUACCCUGUAAGGAAGCCCCGGCUAACUACGUGCC